AUGCUUGUUUCUCUUCCUCACAUCAAACCCAACACGGCCACCAUAUGCAACCCAAAACACCCAAGCUUCAUCUGCAUUUCUAAACCUCAUACCAACUUGAGGUAUUCCCUUGUCAAUUUCGCCCAUUGCACAACAAUUGCAAAUGCACAACACUCAAAUCUUGUCAAAUUGCACAACACAUCACCCCAAUCAGUAAUAAUUCUGUCAAAUAGGAAAGUACACAUCAGUGCAUCACUCAUUUGCACAGAACACAUCACAAAAUUCAGCUAUUGCAAAGAAAGCUACCUGCUGGAGUCGGCCUGGAGCUUGAUGGCCACUGCUACAGGACCAAAUCUGCCACCAUGUCAGCGGCUACCAGCAGCACAGGCGGAGGGGGCACAACGGCUAGACGGAGUGGAUUCUAGGAGGGGUCGGAGGGAGCGGAGGGAGUUGGCGCAUGGAGCGAUCGGAGCCCGUCGGAGGUGGCGAGGCGGAGGAGCCCGGAGUGGCGACGGAGGAAGCUGCCGAUGGCGUUGUCUUCGGUGGCCGCCGCCGAGCUCGGUCCACUCCCUUUCCCACGGCGGCGGCGGCGGCGGCGGCGGGAGAGCGGUGCCCGGUACCCAGCUCGCGCAAAAUUUCCUCUGCUGGGAGAGCCCGCGAAGCUGUCCCGCGCAAUUUCCCCUGCUCCCCCAAACAGAGCUCGCGAAGCUGUCUCUCUGUCAGUCUAUCUGCGUGAUUGGUGCAGAGAAGAUAUGUCUGGAGACUGACAACCUGGGAGUGGCACAAGCUCUUCAAUUCAAUGAUCGUGACAGGUCGCAUUUUGGCCCUCUUAUUGAGGAGAUUAAGGAGCUGCUUAAAGGUGUUGACGAUCAUCUGGUGAUCUGGUCUAGAAGAUUGACCAACAAGGCGUCUCACAAUGUAGCCAGGGAAGGCUGCAUGAAGAAGCUCUGUAAAACCUGGUUUAAUUUACUCUAG
rnacentral:rRNA from 1 species